UCUUCAUUUCUCAAACUCUCUCAUCGGUCAGAGUUGCGAGAGAGUGUGCGAAAUGAGGAGA
rnacentral:pre_miRNA from 1 species